AGAUGGAAGGUCGGCCACUAUUAACUGUAGAAAAACACUUGGAGCGCCAGUACUUGGUCAACUAGUAGAGUUCUGUGAAUUUUCUAGAGAGAAGUUGCUAAAUCAAAUCUGAUACAGUAGCAUACGUUUAUAGCCCUUUGCGCGCAUAGCAUUGGCGAACCGGACAUCAAAAGACAUUUAAAACUUUUCACGUCUCUGAUGUGGCAUCGAUGAACAUCACACAGGGAAUUCCUAGGAUUGAGGAAAUCAUUAACGCCUCAAAGGCACCUGUUAUCUCCACCCAACUAAUUGAUAACGAACCGGAAUAUGCCCGACGAGUAAAAGGAAGGAUAGGAAAAACUAUGCUUGGAGAAUUAAAUUUAGAAAAAUAUUUUCCCGUAGUUUUUCACUGUUGUCCUUUUAAGGUGAUGGUUUAUUUCGAGGAAGUAUAUUUGCCUGAUGCAUGUUCUUGGUGAUUACAUUAGACAUGAACCGAAUCCGCUUGCUGAAACUAAAAGUGGAUGCAAAUUCUAUCCAAUAGAGUUUUCAGCCCCUGUACGUGUAAACUAAAAAUAAAACCAGCCUUCAUGAAAGUCAUCAGUGAAACAAGAAUGAUUGUUAAGCCCGUCCUAUCUGCAAAAUCGUCAAUGUGUCAUGUGAUAAAGUUCCUUAAGGAACAAUUGCCUAGGGUCGUUAUAAAAGGUUUACCAACUGUUAGCCGAGCUGUCAUCAAUAUCCAUGAUACAAGUAAACUGCCCAGGUAUUAUUUGCUUUUAGAGGGUGACAAGUUAUUAAGGCAACGGUAAACGAUGCAAAGUUUUGUGAAGAAAAAUUUGGAACAUGUUUUUAAAUUUAUUUCAAUUUAAAAUGUCGAAAUUAAUCUUUUAACUAUUCCAGGAUUGGCUUAAGGUUUAUGCAUUAACCUUUCAAAACCAGAGUCAUCUUUUUACAAAUGAAUUUGGAAGGAUUAUGAUCAUACUGGGAAUGCCUCUUAUCAGAAAUGGAAAGCUAUAACAGGCUUAAUUUUUUGUCAGAAAUAUUAAUGCUUACAUUUUCAAUAAGGUUGGGCUUUCUGGAGCUCCUGCUUCUUCCUCGAUGUAUCUCACCGAUGAUUUCGGCUUAAUCGGAAGAACAGCUCAAUAGCGUCCGAUUUCGGCAAAAUCACUGCAGCAAUCGUAAUUAAGAAUAUCUGCUCAUCAGCGGGAAUAUGUAGAUGAUAUGUAAUUAGUGUUUUAAGUUUAAAAAAAAGCGGCCGAUUCCAAUUCCAUCUGGAAGAUCUUGUCUUGUAGAAUGCAGCAAGGGCAGUGAUGAAAGGAAGCCACUUCCAUACGCUUUCAUAGGUUCAGACAAUUCCAUAUGACAAAAGCUUAAGGGCAACUUUCUCUACAACGAAACGGAGUUGAGGAAGGUUAACUCCUACAUACUGAAAAGGUUCCUUGUUUGGGGCAAUGUCCGGAAUAAAGUAUAAUGAUUGGAUACACUACAUGGAAUUUCCAUACUUAUUCACGUUCUCCUUUAUAACGGUAUUAAAUUUUAAAAAAGUUGAAGUGUAUAUCUGGGCUCCCUUCCUUUCCGUAGCCCCGUUUCCCCUUGACUCGUAAUAAGCCCGUAGGGGGUCAUGCCCCUACUGUACGGUAUAUUUAAAAAUAACAUAUACCGAGGUUUGGAGGGCUCUGGCCGGAAAGGGGACGUGGGGGUCCGCUUAGUCCGAUGAUGUGUUCACGGAGGGCGAGGUGGCAACCCACAAAUCCGAACUAAAGGUUAAUCGCUCCAGUAAAAAUGUUCCAUAUCUUCGGCUCUUCUUCCGGCUUCUCUUAGCCAAUCACC